UACGUAGGGUGCGAGCGUUGUCCGGAAUUAUUGGCGUAAAGAGCUCGUAGGCGGUCUGUCGCGUCGAUCGUGAAAACUUGGGGCUUAACCCUGAGCUUGCGGUCGAUACGGGCAUGACUGGAGUUCGGCAGAGGAGACUGGAAUUCCUGGUGUAGCGGUGAAAUGCGCAGAUAUCAGGAGGAACACCGGUGGCGAAGGCGGGUCUCUGGGCCGAUACUGACGCUGAGGAGCGAAAGCGUGGGGAGCGAACAGG
rnacentral:rRNA from 1 species